GCUGAGAACAGAGUCCACACUAACAAGGUGCUUAUCCUGGUGUGCCAGAGUUCUCAAAGUGCAUCUGCUGCUCUUGAUUCACUGGUAGGGAGAGGCCUUUAGUGUCCUUCUUAGUGCCCACAUCAGAAACAUGU